UUCAAAUUGACAGAACAUUGUGUUAAAUUUAGAAUUUAAUUAUGAAGAAAUUCAUUUGAAA
rnacentral:tRNA from 1 species